rfam:Pseudomonas sp. BAY1663 contig000015, whole genome shotgun sequence.
UCAUUUCUCUUUACUAAACACGGGAUGAUUCCCGGCCUGUUCACUCAAGGAGCCCAUCAUGGCACUGAGCGUUGAAGAAAAAGCCCAGAUCGUUAACGAGUACAAGCAAGCUGAA